GUUUUUGUAGUGUAGUGGUUAUCACGUUGGCCUCAUACGCGAAAUGUGUCUGGUUGGAAACCAGGUGGAAGCA
rnacentral:tRNA from 1 species